rnacentral:lncRNA from 1 species
AGGUCCAGCUGGGCAUGGCCCCGGGCGUGGGUGGGGAGACGAGAGAAAGGAGCGUGGGACGGAAAAGGCGAACCCGGCGAGGCCCCCAAGUCCACCGCGAAGGGGUCUGGGAGGAGCCGAGGGUCGACCAGAUGUGAAGAUGGGUCACCUUGCGAAAACCCACGCUUUUCCGCCCGUCUUGCCUGGUAAAAAGUGUGAAGUUUCUCGGGCGACCCAGUCCGGUGGUGUUCACGUUACUUGGGCUGUAUUCGUGGAACACCAGGCUGGCGUGGCACCAGAAACCUCAGUGAGGUGGUAAAAGGUCGGGCUCGAGGAGUUGUGGGUUCGCUGUUGGGUACGGAAAGCUUCGAGAUUGCAAGUUUGCGCCGCCGAGUGUCUUCUAAAAGCGUUCAGCCUCCCUUACAAGAACUUGUUCAGAUGGAGAAAAGAACAGAAAUGGAGGCCUGUAGACAGAGCUCACUGGGGAGGGAAGGGGUGUUCAAAUGGUCGGUAUCACCGCCAUCCCCUGCCCCUCCGCUGUUGAGAAACUUAGCUUUGGAAAAGCAGCCCAACUCACUGCCGCCUAUCUUAACUGUAUUUCUCUCGGUACGUUUCAACUCUCGGAAAGACACACUGACACACUGGCUGUCUUUUAAAACUGUUCAGUGUGCAGGAUGAAGAAAAAAUGGACACUAAGGGUGGAACCACCCUUCAAGCUCUAACACAACUGAAAUAGGGUUUAUACGUCUGUGACCAGGAGAAAAAGAGAAAGCUUGGUCUUGCUGUACAUAAAUUUUCUCUUCAAGGAGAAGUACAUAUUUCAUGAGAAUAAAUAGUUUCAGAAUGAUGCUACA